CCAGAGCGCAUCCUCUCGCUCGCGUCUUCGCCUUCCGUCCUCCUGCGUCCACCGCCCCCGUGCUCCUGCUUACCGUCGGACCUGGCCGACCUCCCUUCGCUGCUCUGCGUCCCUCGGCCUCAUGAUGCCAUCUCUAUACCACUAGGGAAGAGGCUGCCUCUACCAAAACUGUUCUUCUUUAUACUGUCACUGCCUCACUGCUCGGAUCAGAAUCUACCAUUCCCAUGAAUUGAACCGUGAUACAGUACCGAAGAUUAGUGAGCCUCUCCGAACAUUGCAGGCUCUGGCACAAAACGGCACAAAGGUUGACCUGGCCACCAUGCUCGACAAGAGCUUCAGCAGUUCGGCUAUGUAAGUUCCUGCAGCUGCAAGUCAAGUCGCGUAUUUCUCUCAACGUGGUGGGGGCAUCUGCUAUAUUACUAACCAAAUUAUGUUACAUCGAUCAAUUGGCAUGUGAAAGUCUGAUAUGAUCGAAUUGCAGCUGCUUCUUACGGACGAGUUGUGGUCAGAGCAAGACAAGAUAGCUCGUGAGAUCGCCCAGGUGAAGGAGGGCGCUAAACUGAAAUAGCUAGCUAGAAGGGAAAGAUCUUCUUUUUAUAGUAGAAGGGAAAGUAAGUUACAGUACUUAGCUAGCCUCUGCAUCAAACACAACGUACACCUCAUAUGGGAAUUGGUAAUCACCUCGCUGGAAGAAACUCAUGUUGAUCGUCA